rnacentral:rRNA from 1 species
UACAGAGGUCUCAAGCGUUGUUCAGAAUCACUGGGCGUAAAGCGCGUGUAGGCGGCCCACUAAGUCUGAUGUGAAAGCCCGGGGCUCACCCCCGGAAGUGCAUUGGAAACUGGUGGACUAGAGUCCCGGAGAGGAGAGUGGAAUUCCUGGUGUAGCGGUGAAAUGCGUAGAUAUCAGGAGGAACACCGGUGGCGAAGGCGGCUCUCUGGACGGUGACUGACGCUGAGACGCGAAAGCGUGGGGAGCAAACAGG